rnacentral:rRNA from 1 species
AGUGAACGCUGGCGGCGUGCUUAACGCAUGCAAGUCGAACGAGAACGGGUUAUAGCUUGCUAUAAUUGUCAGCUAAGUGGCGCACGGGUGAGUAAUGUAUAGGUAAUAUGCCUCUUACUAAGGGAUAACAAAUGGAAACGUUUGCUAAUACCUUAUACUCCUUAUUAACAGAAGUUAAUAAGGGAAAGAUUUAUUGGUAAGAGAUUAGCCUGUAUUGUAUCAGUUAGUUGGUGGGGUAAUGGCUUACCAAGACUAUGACACAUAACUGGUUUGAGAGGAUGAUCAGUCACACUGAACUGAGACACGGUCCAGACUCCUACGGGAGGCAGCAGAGGGGAAUAUUGCACAAUGGACGAAAGUCUGAUGCAGCAACGCCGCGUGGAGGAUGACACAUUUCGGUGCGUAAACUCCUUUUAUAUGAGAAGAUAAUGACGGUAUUAUAUGAAUAAGCACCGGCUAACUCCGUGCCAGCCGCCGCGGUAA